CGGUUGUGUUGGCGUCACAUUUUGUAUGCGAAAGCAAGCGCAGCACUCGUUGAUUUUUUUUUGUGAUAUGACGCUGCAACGCCAGCACAACUGUUGCACCCAGCUAAAUCGGCGACAAUACGCCCAACAGGAAUAAUAGCAACAACAAGUAAGCAGCAGCAGCAGCAGCAGCAGCCGUCCAGAGAUUGCGCGCCUUUUUUGUUGUAACGCGCGUCUCUGCAUAAUAAAUGAAAGGAAAAGAACAAUAAUAGCUAAACACAUGUUGAUGUUGUUCAAAUUUCAAUUUGGUUAAAGCAAAGCAAAAGGCGCGCCCAGAUAAGAUACAGUUAAACGGAAGAGCAGCAAGAGCAACAGCGGCAGAGGCAGCGGCGGCAGCGGCGGCAUCGGCGGCUACAUCUGCAAACGAGAGAAGAAGAAAGAAAUGCUUACAGCAAAAUAAGAAGAAGAAGAAGCAUAACUAGAAUAGUGCUGUCGCCAAAGAAUAUGCGACUGUCACACACAUACGUGUGUGUGUGUGUGUGUGUGUGAGUGCGCGCAAUUGUUACAUACCAACACCUGCAGCGCGUAAAUGAAAGCAAAACAAAAGCGAAAACAACAACAGCCCACAACCAAAAACUCACAAUGUUAUACAUGCUUGUAAAGUGGCAUUAAAUUGCAACAAUAACAAAAUUCGACAGCAGCAGCAACCAACAACAACACAUGGCAACAGCGCCCAUCAAGUGUCAAUAAAACAACAACAGCAACAACAAAAACCAACAGAAAGACAAAAAAAAAAAAACAAAAAAACAAACACACACACACAAAAAAUCUACACAAGCAGCAGAAGGUUGCUCGAGCGCUGCGGAGCUUCGAACUCGAACUCGAAAUUCGAAUUUCAGUUUGUCUUACACCGCCGCCGGCGGCAAUCUUCAAAUUUUUGUGUCAACGCUGCACUUUUCGAACCCGGCCCUCAACACCAAGAACCAAACGCCCCAUCCAGCCCCCACCCCGCACCCGCGUGCCAACGCGGCUAACGGCAUUUUCAUAUUUCAAUUUAAUUAUUUGUGUGUGAGUGUGCUUGAUAUUUUUUUUUUUUUUUUGCAAUUUUUUUUCUAUAAUUGUUGUCAAGUGAAUGGCGCAAAAGCGAAAAGCAGUGCGAAUGCAGUUGUGAAUCAAUCAAAUCCAUCAACAACAAUCGCCGCAUCAAUUCAGCAACUCCAACGGCAGCUUCAUGUCUGUAUCAACA
rnacentral:sRNA from 1 species